rnacentral:lncRNA from 1 species
GGUAUGGAACUCGCUUUAUUUUUUCCAGAUGGUUACCCAGUUGUCUCAACACGAAAACAUUUUUAAACAGUUCAGGGUAAACCACACAUUUCUGCCAACGCGUGGGCCACCUUCUUGAAACCUCUUGCUUUGACAGACAUGAAGUUCACAUCCACUGGGAAAGCAGGGAGGUGGUUGACCAAAGAAGAGCCUUGCUCUCAUGAAAAUGUGCAAUGUCCUUUCUACUGGCGUUCCACAAAAGAACAUUUUCCUAGGCUGCAAAGUGACCCUGGCAAGGGCUGUGGGCUCUGCUUGAGCCAGCAGUCAAGCCUUUCCUUUACCUGACAGGUCAUCAGGUCACCUGGCACAAGGACAGUGCUUCCAGAACACCAGCAAAGGACUGAGGUCAGAAUUGCUGGCAGGCUCUGUGUCUUUGCCUUCCCUCCCUCCGGGUGUCCCCAAGUGUCCCUAAAGUUCACUGUUUGGCAUUAGGACUCCCAGCAAACUUGGAAUGGCCAAUCCUAGUUCACUGGUCAGCUUUCCCUACCGACGUUCUCAUGCAACCUCUCCCCUCCUUGCUGACUUGGGGUCAGUGGGUGUCCUGACAAAGAUCCAAGGACAGUGAAAUGCAGAGAGGGCUAGUGGGACUUGUGGCAGCUCUCACUCCUCCACCUGUUCUUACUCCGAAAUUUAAGGGUGGUCCCUAAGUCACUCGCUGUUGAUGCUCCUGGAUGCCACUGAUCAACUGAGAAAUAGCACACAGUUGGCAUUUUUCCUGCUGGGCCAAUCACCCACCUGCAGGCAGUGCCCGUUGCCAGCCCUGUGGCCAGCGCUCACAGAGGUCCCCUCAUUUUGUCACACAAACACCCCCCAGUGGGCAGGUGCCAUUGUUUGCUGCAUUCUUAUUGAGGAGGAAGCUGGGCUCAGAAAGGGUAAGCAACUAGCCCGAGGCCACACAGCUGAGGUGUGCAGGAGAAGAUGGUGCCACCCAGGCAGGCUGACCUCAGAGCUAGAAGCUCUCAGCCACAGUCCAGUGAGUCUCUAUUUUAGGACACUCACGAUGCUAUAGCUUGAUCACAUGACAUUCCCUUUCACCUUUCCCAGGCCCCUGCUUCAGGCCCUGAAAGUUGAAAGAGGCCUGGGUAUCUGCAGCAAGCCACACACACUCGGCCUCUGGAAACCGAUGUCCUCACCGUUUGUCUGAAAAAUUAACUUUCCAUCAAAUCCAUGUUCUUCCUGAGUGGACACACUGGGGCCCAGUGAGUAUCAGGGCUUCCUUCAUUAAAAACAGUCCCGAUCAAUACAGCACAGAAACAAUCUGCGGCUACCUGUUGUGACAGUGUCAGCCAGGGAAGCCAGACACACGGAAGGCACCACGUGGGCUCCGUCCACAAAAGUACAGAUGCCAGCGGCACCCGUCUGUACUGACAGAUGUCAGGAUGAGCCCGGGCUGGGGUUAUUAUUUAAAAUAAAAUAGGGAUCCCUGGGUGGCACAGCGGUUUGGCACCUGCCUUUGGCCCAGAGUGCGAUCCUGGAGUCCUGGGAUCGGGUCCCGCGUCGGGCUCCCGGUGCAUGGAGCCUGCUUCUCCCUCUGCCUGUGUCUCUGCCUCUCUCUCUAUGUCUAUCAUAAAUAAAAAAAAUAAAUCUUAAAAAAAAAAUAAUGUAUACGAGUUUUUUUACUAAAAAAAUGACCUCCACAGGAAAAUGCUGGCUCUUCUUGAAACAAGGUGUCCACCUAUAUAUUUUCUUCUUAAGAUAGAUUUAUUUUAGAAAAAGAGAGAGCACAUACACUCAAGAGCAGGGAGAGGGAGAGAGAAUCCCAAGCAGACUCCAUACUGAGCGGGGAGCCCAAUGCGGAAUUCGAUCCCAUGACCCACGUGAUCACAAGCUGAGCUGAAAUCAAGAGUUGGUACUCAGUCAACUUGUGCCUGCUGGCUUGUUGAGCCAUCCGGGUGCCCCUGACCUGUAUUUUUAAUCCCAAAAAAUUGUCCUAAAAUUGUCAAGAUCCAGCUUUUUCCUUACUUUUGUACUGCUCUCUCUCUCCUGAUUCAUUACAUUAGAUUUCCCUGAAAUUGUAACACAGGUCUGCAGUUCAGUUGUGUGUGUAUGUAUAUGUUUGUGUGUUUUCUUGGCUCUGUGAGGAAUUUCAAAACAACGCAGAAUUAUUCAUCACCAAGGUGAGAAAUCCGGAAUUCCAGGACAAGAGCAGGAAACGUGUCUGCAUGCAAUGAAACGAAGGCAGAGCUACCUCU